GUUCAUAAAUCAUUUCUAAAGAUGCUUCUCUAUAACAAUCUAUGUCUCCAUAAGAUUUUAAACUCCUCAAGGAAAGGGACUCUUUCUUCUAUUUCUGUUGAAAUUCCCUUAGUCUACUUGUUCUCAAUGGGGACAAAUUUACUCCUUAGGGACAUUUAACAAUGUUUGGAGAUAUUCUUGGUUGUCACAGCUGGGGAGGGAGGUGCUUCUGAAAUCUAGUGAACAGAGGCCAGGGAUAAUGCUAAACAUUCUACAACGCACAAGAUGGCCCCCUACAAAAAGGGGGGUUUUCCUGCUCAAAGUGUCUAUAAUGGCAAACUUGAGAGAUUCUGCCUUAGUCUCUAGGCCAACACCAUGAACAUACAAUAGACACUGAACAAAUAAUUUUGUCUUUCAGUCAAAGAGAAUUAUCCUCAUAGAAGGGAUGCUGUUGGAUACGGAGCUGUCAGGGGAAUGAAGAAAAGCAAGUGAGCACUCAUGCAAAACAAAAGCUAAGUCAGAGAAGAGAAUCUAAUUUUCCUUAGUCAAGAGGGAGAGUAGGGAGUAUUGUAAAGAAGAAAAUGUUGGAUGGAUGAAAGCUGAGAGCUGAGAAGUUAUUUACUUUGUAGGAGGUGUUGACUUAAAUGGCUCAUCUUUUAGAUAUCUCUAGGGGAAUAUCUCGUGAUUGUGGUAAACAGUGGUAAUAACAUUGGAAUACAUGAAGGAAAGUUCUGGGAAUGAUAAUUUAUGUUGUCAAGAAGACCUGUGUUUAGAAGAUCCUUAUUCUUACCUCCCUUUGAAAUAAAGUCUGGGUGAUGAAAAGUGUCUUUAAUUUACAAAUGAGGCAAGGAAAUUGGUUGGAAGAGCUCUGAACACUGACCCCUCCAAAAGACUCUUUUUCCAGUUCCCUACUCAGGAUUUUUGGGGAUGGGGAUGAUGGAUGACUAAUUGCUUUCAGUGACUACUCCCAGCCUCUGCCUUGGCUGUGCUUCCAAUGUUCUUCCUCAUCAUGUCAUGUCUGUCUUUCUCCUUAAGUUACAACAUGCAAGAAAACCAAUUAAUUAUUUCUUUGUCCCCCAUCCCCUCUCCUCUUCAUCAUUUAAUAAAUAUAAUAAGAAAUAUCCUAGGCAUAAAAAAUAGCUCCUGAAAACGUUGGGAUUGGAGGGAAAAUCCACGACCUAGAAAUUCUCUUAAGAUGGAUAUCAUUAUUCUCAACCUCUCAGAACACUUGGCAGGAGAUUCCAUUAUUAGUUCUCCUUGCUACCAGAGGUAUUUGGCAAGGUUUUUGUUUAGAUUUCUUUUGGGGAAGACAUGCUUAAAUUAAACAUUGAAAUUCAUGAGAAUAUUUCAGUUCCUUGUAAACUUUUCUAAUCACACUUCAAGCGAGGUAUUAUUUGUGGCUUCUCAAUGAGGAAAAGUUCUCCCGAGGGGGACUUCCAACAGUUCAUUUCAGCAGAUCUCUGAGUCGAUGGUCAAAUGCAGUGCAUCAUAUAACAGGCUGAAAUAGGUAUACAAGCAUUACUCAAAACAGUUUUUAAUGGCUUGGAUUCUUCUCUGUUGCACAGGAUUAUAGAUUGGAUCAUAGAAAAAUGAGUUAUUCUCAGUCAGUGAUAUCUGGAUUCCUUUUUCAGUUUUUCCAGUAACAGAAAAGUAAAAGAAUUGAACCACCUCUUUUUUGUAUUUUCUUUUUUUUUUUUUUCACUUUCCUGUAAAGGUUUUUUGGGAAAAUAUUCUGGGGCAAGGACUGAGUGACUGUGGUAUAACCAGUGUACAGCUCUAUGUAUAACAGAAAUGUGAUGAAUAAGGGGGGCUCAUUUGCUGCCACUGUAUUUUUUGGCAGAUGAAUGCAUGACAUCUCUUGGUAAAAUGGCCCAGAAGAAACACAGGAAGGAGUUAUGAAAAGAUAACACCCCACCUCUCCUUCAAAGACCCGGGAAACAAACACUGAGAAUGAAGCCAGCCUGCUGCUUCCUGACCCUGGACGGAUCCUUCCAUAUUCCAAUAUCACAGUCAUGUCUGCAAACAUCCCUUCUAUUAAAGCAGUAUGCAGAUGUAGGUCAGAAGACAGAGCAGCGGAUGUGUAGAACAAAGGCACAGAUGCAAUGAACCUCGUGGACAGUUGCCUUAAAACAAAGGUACUGGGUCUUGGGAAUAUUUCUACAUCAGUACAGAAAAGGUUACCGCAUGCCUUUAGAGCAAAGGCUCUCUAAGUGUGGUGACCAGGCCAACUACACCAGCAUCGUCAGGGAACUUGUUGGAGAUGCACAUUCUUAAGCCCCAUUCCAGACCAGUUGAAUCAGAAGCUGGUGUGAGGCUUGUUGGUGAUCCCAGUGUAAACACAAGGCUCCUUAAAUGAAGAAGCGGGCGGCAGAAGAGCUAGAAUCAGAGAACUGUCAUCAGGAGGAAGACUCAGCUGGCCAUUGCUAGCUCUGAAGAUGAAGGAAGGAGACUCAAACCAAGGAAUGUGGGCAACGUCUAGAUGCUGGAAGAAGUAAGAAAACAGAUAUUUCUCUAGAGCCUCCAGAAAGGAAUGCAGUCCUGCUGGCACCUUCAUUCUAGCUAAGUGAGAUCCAUUUUGGACUUCUGACCUCCAGAACUGUAAGAUAAUAAGUAUAUGUUGUUUUAAGCCAUUUAGUUUGUGGUAGCUUGUCAGAGUGGCGAUAGAAAACUAAUACAGCUAUCGAGUCCAGGUUUCAAAUGCUUAAAACUCCCAGGUUUUAGAGCGAAUGUUAGAUCCUGAAUCUCAGAUGAGUAUACUCAUGAAAAUAAGUUUAGCCUUAUCAAGCCUUAUAGUCAGGGCUAUGCUAGUGUUUAACAAGCAGGUCUCCAGGGGGGAAAAAAAAGAAUAAA